CGGACGGGUGAGUAACGCGUGGGUAACCUGCCUUACACAGGGGGAUAACACUUAGAAAUAGGUGCUAAUACCGCAUGAGCGCACAGGACCGCAUGGUCGAGUGUGAAAAACUGAGGUGGUGUAAGAUGGACCCGCGUCUGAUUAGCUAGUUGGUGAGGUAACGGCCCACCAAGGCGACGAUCAGUAGCCGGCCUGAGAGGGCGGACGGCCACACUGGGACUGAGACACGGCCCAGACUCCUACGGGAGGCAGCAG
rnacentral:rRNA from 1 species